rnacentral:rRNA from 1 species
GAUGAACGCUGGCGGCGUGCCUAAUACAUGCAAGUCGAGCGAACGGACGAGAAGCUUGCUUCUCUGAAGUUAGCGGCGGACGGGUGAGUAACACGUGGAUAACCUACCUAUAAGACUGGGGUAACUUCGGGAAACCGGAGCUAAUACCGGAUAAUAUGUUGAACCGCAUGGUUCAAAAGUGAAAGACGUUCUUGCUGUCACUUAUAGAUGGAUCCGCGCUGCAUUAGCUAGUUGGUAAGGUAACGGCUUACCAAGGCAACGAUGCGUAGCCGACCUGAGAGGGUGAUCGGCCACACUGGAACUGAGACACGGUCCAGACUCCUACGGGAGGCAGCAGUGGGGAAUAUUGCGCAAUGGGCGAAAGCCUGAUCGAGCCACGCCGCGUGAGUGAUGAAGGUCUUCGGAUCGUAAAACUCUGUUAUUAGGGAAGAACAUAUGUAUAAGUAACUGUGCACAUCUUGACGGUACCUAAUCAGAAAGCCACGGCUAACUACGUG